UGGUUCUGGCAUCGAUGAAGAACGCAGCGAAAUGCGAUAAGUAGUGUGAAUUGCAGACUUUAGUGAAUCAUCGAAUCUUUGAACGCACAUUGCGCCCCUUGGUAUUCCAUUGGGCAUGCCUGUUCGAGCGUCAUUUACCCCCUCAAGCUCCGCUUGGUGUUGGGCGUCUGUCCGCGCUCUCAGCGUGGACUCGCCCCAAAUCCAUUGGCGGCGGCUCCGUCGGCUUCCCGCGCAGCACUUUGCGCUCCCGGAGGCUCUCGACGGGCCCGCGUCCAUACAGGAAACCCCAUCGUUCUGACCUCGAAUCAGGUAGGGAUACCCGCUGA
rnacentral:misc_RNA from 1 species